GAUGAACGCUAGCUAUAGGCUUAACACAUGCAAGUCGAGGGGAAACGGCAUUAUGUGCUUGCACAUUUUGGACGUCGACCGGCGCACGGGUGAGUAUCGCGUAUCCAACCUGCCCUUUACUUGGGGAUACCCCGUUGAAAGACGGCCUAAUACCCGAUGUAAUUCAUUGAUGGCAUCAGAUAUGAAUAAAAGAUUUAUCGGUAAAGGAUGGGGAUGCGUCUGAUUAGCUUGUUGGUGAGGUAAUGGCUCACCAAGGCGACGAUCAGUAGGGGUUCUGAGAGGAAGGUCCCCCACAUUGGAACUGAGACACGGUCCAAACUCCUACGGGAGGCAGCAGUGAGGAAUAUUGGUCAAUGGACGGAAGUCUGAACCAGCCAAGUAGCGUGCAGGAAGACGGCCCUAUGGGUUGUAAACUGCUUUUAUACGAGAAUAAUUUGAUGCACGUGUGCGUUAUUGCAUGUAUCGUAUGAAUAAGGACCGGCUAAUUCCGUGCCAGCAGCCGCGGUAAUACGGAAGGUCCAGGCGUUAUCCGGAUUUAUUGGGUUUAAAGGGAGUGUAGGCGGUUUGUUAAGCGUGUUGUGAAAUUUAGGUGCUCAACAUUUAACUUGCAGCGCGAACUGGCGAACUUGAGUGCACACAACGUAUGCGGAAUUCAUGGUGUAGCGGUGAAAUGCUUAGAUAUCAUGAAGAACUCCGAUUGCGAAGGCAGCAUACGGGAGUGUAACUGACGCUUAAGCUCGAAGGUGCGGGUAUCAAACAGG
rnacentral:rRNA from 1 species